CGGGAUAUGUAGUCUUCUUUAGCCACGAUGGCCAGUGUCCAAACUCCUGCUGUGAUUCUACACAGCAGAGAUGGUAUGUGGCCUCCAGUUCCUCCAUGGACACAACAUCGUCCACCGAGAUCUAAAGCCGCUCAAUUUCUUGUUGGAUGCAGAUGGCCACAUCCGUAUCAUCGACCUCGGGCUGGCCCAGGAUGGUGUCACUGCCUCCAAUAAGAUCCGUUGAGUGACAGGAACCUUCCAUUACAUGGCCCCUGAGAUACUUCUUAGAAAAAGAUAAGGCACAGCAGUUGACUGGUGGAGCCUGGGGAUUGUGGUGUCCAGGAUGGCAUCAGGACUCCACCCAUUUUACCAUGGCCCCUUCCGGAAAAUGGCUCGCAUAGCCAUUACCACCAAAGAGCCAGAUAUUCCAACUUGGCUUGAUGAUGGCGUGCAACAUCUCACCAGAUAACUGCUGUGCAAGAAUCAUAAGAAGCGCCUGGGUGUGCGAGGAAAUAUCAGACAGCAUCCAUUGUUUUCCACCAUCGGCUGGCAGGAACUGAAGGAGAGGAGGGCACGGCCACCAUUUCAGCCAGUUCUGGAGAAACAACAUCUGCAUUGGCCAAAGGAUAAAAAAGCCCUUCACCCCGUGGCCCAAUUUAGCUAUAUGUCACCAAGCUGGGCCCGGUGGAUGAGAAGAUCUGGGCUGUGAAGGAAUCCACGACCAUCUGAAACAGCUUGUGCCGAAUGCCCAGAACUCUAUGCCUCCCGAGUCCUGACCCAUGCCUCAUAUCUCUGCUGAUGAUGUCUCCUUGGCUGCCCUAGAACAUCAUCUCUCUCCAUAACACUAUCAUGCCUCUCCAUUGUCAUCUUGCUGCAGCCCCAGGCCCUUGAGCUGGCAUCCUCCAAUCCCAGGCUGUCAUCUGACACCGCUACAGCCUUAAAAUCCUCUAUGACCCCAGGAGCGGCCCGUGCUUUGUUUCCAUCUGGUGAGUUCAGGGACAAGAGCCGCAUGUUGUAGUCCUGGGGCUGCUGAGCGGCUAUUAUCCCUGAACUCCCCUCAGCACAGGCCGGGUAAGUACUACACACACCACACACAUAUCACUGACACUACAUGCUAGGUAUAGGAACACUACAUGCUAGGUAUAGGCACUCUACAUGCAGGGUAUAGGCACACUACAUGCUAGGUAUAGGCACAUUACAUGCUAGGUAUAGGCACAUUACAUGCUAGGUAUAGGCACAUUACAUGCUAGGUAUAGGCACAUUACAUGCUAGGUAUAGACACAUUACAUGCUAGGUAUAGGCACACUACAUGCUAGGUAUAGGCACAUUACAUGCUAGGUAUAGGCACACUACACACUACAUGCUAGGUAUAGACACCAACACAUAGUAAACACAUAGUUAUUGGCUUUGCUCCUGGGAUUUAUUCUGAUCGCCAUAUUUGGGGUCGGGAAGGAAUUUCCCAUAUAAAUCUAUAAUAUAUAAAAAAAAAACACAAAACCUUAAUAUGAGAUUAGAAGUCCAUAAAAAUUAGUAUAAUUUAUACCCAUCUCACACAGGUCCAGUAUCAGCCUUUGGUCCUGGGAUUUAUUCUGAUUGCCAGAUUUGGGGUCAGGAAGGAAUUUUGCCCCCUGUUAUGAGGACAGUUUUUUUUGCCUUCCUCAGGAUCAACACGGCCCAUAAAUAGGUUUUAAUAAGAGAUAAAUAAUUUACAUAUACACAUAUAAAAUUCUAAAAUCAAUUCCCCUUUAUAUGUAAAUAAAAUUAGA